UACGGAGGGUGCAAGCGUUAAUCGGAAUUACUGGGCGUAAAGCGUGCGUAGGCGGUUCGUUAAGUCUGUUGUGAAAGCCCCGGGCUCAACCUGGGAAUGGCAAUGGAUACUGGCGAGCUAGAGUGUGUCAGAGGAUGGUGGAAUUCCCGGUGUAGCGGUGAAAUGCGUAGAUAUCGGGAAGAACACCCGUGGCGAAGGCGGCACUCUGGGACGGUACUGACGCUGAGACGCGAAAGCGUGGGGAGCGAACAGG
rnacentral:rRNA from 1 species